UACGUAGGGGGCAAGCGUUGUCCGGAUUUAUUGGGCGUAAAGAGCGUGUAGGCGGUUUGGUAGGUCCGUUGUGAAAACUCGAGGCUCAACCUCGAGACGCCGAUGGAAACCAUCAGACUAGAGUCCGGAAGAGGAGAGUGGAAUUCCUGGUGUAGCGGUGAAAUGCGCAGAUAUCGGGAGGAACACCUGUGGCGAAAGCGGCUCACUGGACCAUAACUGACGCUGAUGCACGAAAGCUGGGGGAGCAAACAGG
rnacentral:rRNA from 1 species